CCCAAAGUGCUGGGAUUACAGGUGUGAGCCACCACAUCUGGCUGGGAGUUAAGUAUUUUACCAUCUGUUUUCUUUCAGAAAUUGGGUUGGUAACAUUGAAGAGACACUUCUCACCUGCCUGAAAUGCCCUACGUUAUCUUCUUCAAGUUGUAAGGGCUCUGGAACAGCCCUUGCAGUGCUCCCACAAAGAGAGGAAGAAAAUAACAGGGAUCUUCAUGGAGAAAUGACCCACGCGAGGGCCUGGACUCUCCAGCAGUUACAGCAGAAGAAAGUUUUUGAAGAAGAGUAGAGGAACUGAGAGCCCCGGCCAGGAAAGCAGGGUUGUGUGAAACGCUAUUUGAUCCUAUGUGCUCCCUGCCCCAAUCUAGCAGCUAGUGAAUGACAGCUGACCAAGUAUAAAUGCCAGGACUAUAGAACUGUGAUAAAGGGUUUGUCCAAGGAAAGGGGCUUUUACUAUUUUUGUUUUCACAGAGGAAAUGGCUAUUUUUCAUCUAAAGUUUCUGAAAGGCAGCAGGGAGCUUCUGGAGGGUGAGUUACCUGCUCUGCACAGGGAGGCUGAGGCCAAGGCUUGUGUGGUGGAUCUGCUGCCACCAAGUGGUGAGGGAGGGAGCCUGGGAGAGUCUCAGUCUUUCUGGGCUUCAGUUUCCUCAUCGGUAAGGUAGGGGCUUAUUGUACCUCUCUGAGGUCCCUUCCUGCUCUGUUUUCUCUGAGUCUCUGAGGAAUUGAGAUGGUUUUCAAUGCUGCCUGGGACCUUCAGCUGAGACCUGACUCUGUGUGUCUCCUGCAGGAGCCUGAGCCGAGUCUACACGCUGGAAUCCCAGAGCUGCGGGAACAGGUGGAAGAAAGAAAGUCAGCAGGUUUAGGGGAUGAGAAUAAUCCACAAAGGACAAGCCAUUGGGAGCCUUGGGAGGAGCCUGAAUCACUGAUGGAAUUGGACAGUGCAUGGAGAUGAUUGAGCAGGACAAGGUCCCUGGCUCUACCUGUGGUGCCCCAAAUGUCAGCAUGGUGGCAUCUGGCAGGACUUGUUCCAUGAAAACCACAGAGGGGAACUUUCCAGAUAUCAUCGAGAAUUCCUACUCCCAGCAGGAAGAGACCAAAUCAAAUUUCAGAGACAGCAAAUAUAGACUUCUUAUGAGUCAGGUGGCCUACUUCCUGAACUACCAGCUGAAGACAUACAGUAAGUUGUAUAGGUUGACCACCAUGAAACUGAUGAAUGAUGUCCUCUCUUGUCUUGA
rnacentral:lncRNA from 1 species